GAUAAAGGUGGAGUUUAACACCAAGGUUCAAGUUAGACUGUAGAUACAGGUGGAGUUUAACACCAGGGUUAGAGUUUGACUGUGGGUUGAGUUUAACACCAGGGUAAGAGUUAGACUGUG